rnacentral:tRNA from 1 species
GUUUUUAUAGCUUACUUUAGAGCAUGGCACUGAAGAUGCUAGGGAAAUCUUAGGAUUUGAAAACA